AGGAUAAACGCUGGCGGCGUGCCUAACACAUGCAAGUCGAACGUCUCUUCUUUCGGGAAGAGGAGUGGCGGACGGGUGAGGAACACGUGGGAACCUGCCCUUCAGUGAGGAAUACCGGCGAGAAAUCGCCGACAAGACCGCAUAGCCCUCUCUGGUGAGAGCCAGAGAAGGAAAGCCUCGCAAGAGGCGCUGGAGGAGGGGCCUGCGUCCGAUUAGCUAGUUGGUGGGGUAAGAGCCUACCAAGGCGUCGAUCGGUAGCUGGUCUGAGAGGACGAUCAGCCACACUGGGAUUGAGAACGGCCCAGACUCCUACGGGGGGCAGCAGUGAGGAAUUUUCGGCAAUGGGGGAAACCCUGACCGAGCAACGCCGCGUGCAGGAAGACGGCCUUCGGGUUGUAAACUGCUUUCUUUGGGUACGAGCAAGGACGGUACCAGAGGAAUCAGCCCGGCUCACUACGUGCCAGCAGCCGC
rnacentral:rRNA from 1 species